ensembl:lncRNA
UCUGAAACUAAGAGAGUUACUCAUAACUGUCUGUUAAACUCCUGAGCACAAGCCCAUGUGAGGCUCAGCAGAAAUGUUCUUGUUGAACCUGAGAGUGGGAUUGACUGUUUGACUCGCUCAGUGGUGAUAGCCAUGAAAAAAAUAGAAAAGCAUGAACAACACAGGUUACAAGAUGUCUUCCCGAAGAUACCAGACAGCUACCACAGGAGGAUGGAAUCCUGGUACAAGAUAUAAACCCAGUGAGUGGGUCAGCAUCUAGAAUUACUCUUUUGUCUCUGGAACCAAGAAGGAAAAGUGUGGAGACUGAGAGGAGAAGUGAGAACCUUUGAGCCUAUAUCUGGAGCAUGUGACUAGCAUUGGAGGUCGGAACACUCAGAUUUGGAAGAUUGUGGUCAUUUCUGGUGUCUGCGCUAACUCUGGAUGGUGUUAGAAUAUCAUUGAAAAGUUGGACUCUCGGCUGAUGCUGAGUUGAGAAAUUGUGAAAAACACCAUACAUAUGAUGUCAGAAGAGGUGUCAGAAUGAAGAUUCCACAGGAACAAUUAAAGGCACCCAAGGGAAUGAGCUCCCCAGCAAACACUAUACCUCCUUUUUCCCUGCCUAUUUCUUCAAAGGAACAAAGUUAAUCUUCUGGUUAAAGUCCAUUCUCAUUCUGACCAGAGGAGGCACUUCUAUCUUGG